UUGUAAGUCUUGAUGUAGAUUAGAAUGGUUAAUAAAUAAAUUUAAAGAGAUUUGAUAUAAGAAAAUUUAUUUGGAGAUUUAUCUAUUUUGAUUAUAGUAUUUAUAUUAUGUAGGAUUUAGAUAUUUAAUAUAAAGCUUAAGAAAAGAUUGGAGUCUAAAGAUAAAAGUCUAAACUAUUAAGAGGUUUAUUGGAAAGGAUGAUAACAAGGUAUGGUUGAAUGAAGGCAAGGAAUAGAAAACUUCAUUCCUAUUGGUUGAAGGCCAUGCCUAAUGGACUUCAAUGAGGUUGCCUGAGGCUUUAUUAGGGAUUAGGGUUUUUCUUUCGAUUUCAUUUGAGCUUUAGAGGCUAAGAUCAGCAAGUUCAGGAUUUUGGGUAUAAUUUGGGUGAAGAAUUUGUGUGAUUUCGACUUUUUGUAAAGGAGAUAUAGGUGUUCAAAGUUAAGGUGUCAAAUUUGUACCUACUGUCACUCUUUGAAGCAUAACAUAUGCAUAUAGAGAGCAAUGAAAGAUCGGUGACUGGAAUUGGAGAGAAAACUUUCUUAGCUACACUAUAUAUAUAUUGCUUGACGAAUUCCAAGUCUAGAUGAAGGAGUUAUAGGGCAUUGAAGACAACAUAUGUAAUUCAAAGACAGUAAGUGA
rnacentral:lncRNA from 1 species